AUGACCCAGGUAAAAAAAUUCAAAUACUAUUACAUUCAAAUUCAAUUUUCAUAUACUACCACCUAUGCAACUAGCUUUUUAUGUUGCAAUAUUUGCACAGAUUCGGUCAGUGGCCUAUGGGUAACAAUGAAAGAAUACUACUGCUAUAAAUUCCAUACACGACCAGGCAUAUUCAACCCAAUUUUGCAUGGUGCUGGACGCCUAUUCCAGCAGUUUGCUGUAGAUACAUACAUCAAGAUUGAAAGCUCCAGACUGGAUUACAUCGGGCACAAUCAAAAGAAAAUAAGGGCUGACCUAUACCAAGGCCUUCUAGACAGCAUUCAAGUUGGAGAACAAAAUGGAGAUGCGGUCCGAAAACGGAGAGUA
rnacentral:rRNA from 1 species